CUGUGCUGAAAUGAUGGUGUGAGCCACUGCACCCAGCCUGUUUUUUAAGAAGUCAUUCUGCAUUCAAAAUGUGCAGCUAGCUCCCGUUCCCUACAGGACUGCUGUUCCCAACCAAGACUGUUAUGACCCAAAGUAACAGAGCUGAGUGGCUCCAUGCAGAAGUCUGUGUUCAACAUCUGUCAUGCUGGAGAUCAUUAAUGUUCAAUUGCUUCCUAUUGUCUUCAUGUCAUUCAACUUCAUUUCAUUGUCAUUGCUUCAGCUGGGGGAUUAAUCAACUAUUUAUGAGAAGACAGGACUUGGAGUCAGGGCGGUCACAAUGGGGUUAUAGUCUGAGCAAUGGUGGGGAAAGCAAGUCACGGUUAAAAGACUACUAGUUUGUGACAGUUUGUUGACAUUUUAAUAAACAUAUUUGAGAAU
ensembl:lncRNA LINC02640 long intergenic non-protein coding RNA 2640